rnacentral:rRNA from 1 species
AUUGAACGCUGGCGGCAGGCCUAACACAUGCCAGUCGAACGGUAACAGGAAGAAGCUUGCUUCUUUGCUGACGAGUGGCGGACGGGUGAGUAAUGUCUGGGAAACUGCCUGAUGGAGGGGGAUAACUACUGGAAACGGUAGCUAAUACCGCAUAACGUCGCAAGACCAAAAAGGGGGACCUUCGGGCCUCUUGCCAUCGGAUGUGCCCAGAUGGGAUUAGCUAGUAGGUGGGGUAACGGCUCACCUAGGCGACGAUCCCUAGCUGGUCUGAGAGGAUGACCAGCCACACUGGAACUGAGACACGGUCCAGACUCCUACGGGAGGCAGCAGUGGGGAAUAUUGCACAAUGGGCGCAAGCCUGAUGCAGCCAUGCCGCGUGUAUGAAGAAGGCCUUCGGGUUGUAAAGUACUUUCGGCGGGGAGGAAGGGAGUAAAGUUAAUACCUUUGCUCAUUGACGUUACCCGCAGAAGAAGCACCGGCUAACUCCGUG